rnacentral:tRNA from 1 species
GCCUGGGUGGCGGAAUUGGUAGACGCAAGGGACUUAAAAUCCCUCGAGAUCACUCUCGUGCCGGUUCGAGUCCGGCUCUAGGCACCA